rnacentral:lncRNA from 1 species
UUUUUUUCUUUUUUCUUAUAGUUACCGGAAGAAAAAAGUGGCGAAUCUUUGCGAAGAUAUGACAGUUUAACCAUCCUGUUUCCCUAGGCCUAACAAACCAGAUUCUAGGGGUUUUACCGACUGGCGGAACGGAGGAAUCCAUCGUGGAAUUCGGCGAUUGACCCCGGAACCACACCAAUUCGGUGCUCAUUCACGUUGACCGGUGAAACAUCGAUUUGCGAUCGAUUCGAAGAACUUUAUCGGUAAAUGACAAUUCACGCUGAUCAAUGCGCGUUAUGUGUAAUAACUCUACGAAUGCAUUAAAAAAAGGAUGACGGAAUGUGUUCUUCUAGUUAAUUGUGUUAUUGUGAUCUGUGCGACGAGGUAGUUCAAAUUGGAGACUGUUGGCACUGCUGCUGCCUACUCAAUAACAAGUGCCAAAUUGGCGGGAGAAGACUCAACGUAGUCGAAUUGCUCGUAAAACAGACAAGAUAUCGAUAUGACUGCAGAAAAACCAAAACGGAAUAUCUACUCCGAGGAGGAGAAGAGUUUCUUAAAAGAGGAGAUGGGGAGGCACCCAUGCCUUACGACAAUGAGGUCGGACGGAAGGGACACCUCUUCCGUCCGGAAGAAAGCGGCAUGGGAGGCCGUGACGGCAGAAUUUAAUAAAAAAUUCCCAGAAAACCCUGACUAUUCUCAACUGAUAAAGCAUCUUGAACAAAACCAUUGUGUAGACUUAGGUGUUAAAAUGUUUCAUUUUACAUCAGAAGAUGAAUUCCAAGAAUGGAAAAGACAAGAAGAAACCAAUUCGUUUGUUAGAUUUGUAAAAAAUUCAGAAGACAAGAUCGUAGCAGGAGAGAAAAUGCGAUACUAUAUAUUUGUAUGUUUGAUGUAAGUUCUCUGCAACUCAAGAAUUAAAGAACAUCAAUGAAAUGAAAUAUUUCCAAAAACUCUCGAGUAAAAACUUUACCCUGAAAACUCUAGAGCAUGACGUACAAGCUAAAGACGACGCAACAAACUGUGGCAUCUACUGCCUCUACUUUUUAGAAAGUAUCUUCAAAAAUCGGAGCUUGAAAGAG